GUCUGUGUGAUUGAGAUGUGGCUUAGGAGUGUAACCAGCUACACAGUUAUAAGAGACUUUAUUCCUGGGCAAAAAAAGAAGGAUCGAUAAAACGAAAGAAAGAAUUUUAAAGAAAGAAAGAGAAAAUACAGAAAGGUAACAAUACAUGCAGGCCAUAGCUAGUCAAGCAAGAUAUUCCCUGGAACUCGGCAAACUUCAAAGCGCCUAUUUAUAUAUAGUGUCUAGAUGAUAUACAAUUAUUUUAAUAUUGUUGAGACGAUUUCGCCGUGCUGUACAAAUCAAUUGAAAUUUUUUUUAUUAAACAAUCUGUACAAAGCGACUACAAGAAACGAAUCUUUUUUAUGGUGGUCUCCUGAAGUAAACUUAUAACCAAAUUAAUCAUUGAAAUGCUGUCCUCUUCAAUUCCUCGCUUGUUUGUUUUGACCAAUGUCUGACAGAAUUAUAAUUUUUGCAUGGCUGAAUAUCGCGGCCAUGACGAAUCUAUAUGUAUCGAAUGGUAAACUCAAACGGAUAAAUUGAAAUUCUGAGAUCAUGCAUGCAGACAUGGAGAAUAUAUAGGAAGUUCUUCUUGGUUCAAACUUUAUAUCCCAGAGAAAAGUGUAAUUGGCGUCGUUGGAAUAAGGACGACCUGACAUAUAGGGGAUCACUUCCAGGUAGUCUCACCUUGUUAUAACCAGAGAUUCAUAGUUCUGUUGUGGCAAUAUAUAGUUUCUACCGUCUCCAAUGGAAUACUCUCAGUUAGAUUCGGCUCACGCCAAACUAAUGAGUCAGAGGGGCAGCGCGAUUCUCCUGAAAAGGCAUUAAUUAUCACACUUAUCGACUAUAUAAGACCGAGGAAACAGUAUGUUUUGUGGACCCAAAACUGCCAAUCAUCAUGCAAGUGUCAAAGAAAACAAAAAAGACUUCAAACGAAACGGGAAACCUCCAAAAUUUUUGCUUUAUAGCUCGACGAUUUUAUUAUUCACAGGUAAAAGAAAAGUAAUGUCCACCGCUCAAAGUUGUUGCCAGGAGACUUUCGUCCGUCGCUCGCUUGCGACGUACAAAGAAUUAUUGUAAAGAAAUCGAAUUAAACAUGUCAAGUUAGAGACGUCGGCUUGUCGCAAGUAUACAGAGUGCUUUUAUAGAAGUGUAUGGUGGUGCAGUAUACAACAAUCAAAAUGUUGAAAUUUUAAUGCGAAGUUAUAUUUAUAUUUGAUGGGUUUUGUUGAUGCAUGAAAUUAUCGAACGUAAAUUUUAUAUACAUUUAUUGAAUCUAAGCUAUCUAACUAUAUGAACAUCUGCGAAAAAUACAACCAUCUGACACGAUUGGAACCCGCGGCCCUGUGAUUCCGGUGCAACACUCUAACCAACUUAUAGCUAUCCAGUUGUUAAGCUCUAACUACAAGUUCGUAUACUAUAGGUGUUGUCAUGUUAAGGUAUGGGUUAAUAUCAAGAUUUUGUUG